UACAGAGGGUGCGAGCGUUGUCCGGAAUCACUGGGCGUAAAGCGCGUGUAGGCGGCUUUCUAAGUCUGAUGUGAAAGCCCGGGGCUUACCCCCGGAAGUGCAUUGGAAACUGGGAGGCUUGAGUACCGGAGAGGAGGGUGGAAUUCCUGGUGUAGCGGUGAAAUGCGUAGAUAUCAGGAGGAACACCGGUGGCGAAGGCGGCCCUCUGGACGGAUACUGACGCUGAGACGCGAAAGCGUGGGGAGCAAACAGG
rnacentral:rRNA from 1 species